rnacentral:rRNA from 1 species
GAUCAUGGCUCAGGAUGAACGCUAGCGACAGGCUUAACACAUGCAAGUCGAGGGGCAUCAUGAGGUAGCAAUACCUUGAUGGCGACCGACGCACGGGUGAGUAACGCGUAUGCAACCUGCCCGAUACCGGGGUAUAGCCCAUGGAAACGUGGAUUAACACCCCAUAGUACUUUUAUCCUGCCUGGGAUGUGAGUUAAAUGUUCAAGGUAUCGGAUGGGCAUGCGUCCUAUUAGUUAGUUGGG